AUUUAAUUUUAAAAUGGCGGAUGAAAAUAGUGUAUAUCUUAGAGUAAUAAACAAAAAUAUAGAUUACCCACAACAAGCUAAUAUCAUGGUUACACCCUAUGUUUCAACGCAUCCUUUAAUUUCUGAUCAACUGCGAUUACCUCCACAUGGUGGGAAAACAAGAAAACGUAAAGCAAACUGUUAUAACUGGAAACAGUAAAAAAGAAAGCGACUUAGACAAUCAGGAAAGGAAUAUAUAAAUGUUAGAGGCAAAGUUAUUCAACCAAGAAGUAUUAAAAAUAAAAAAGAUUGUAAAAAUUGUUGCAAGUUUAAGUGUUUUGAGAAGAUUUCAGAAGACUAGAGAAAAAUAUUAUUUAAUAGACUGUGGGGAAUGUCUCAGAUUGAAAAGCAACACUUAUUUAGUAAAACUACUGAACGAUUAGAUAAAAAAAGAUCUCGAACCAAUAAAGUAAGCAAUUCAAAAAGAAAAUAUGCUUAUUUUUACAAUUUCUUUGAGUUUUAUUUGUCUACAUUAGACAUCAGCAGCAGGCAAAUAUCAUACUAUCAUGAAAAUAAACUUGAAACUGGUGUUCCUGCCCCAACAAAAUGGGGGAAACAUUGUAAAAAAAAAGUUCUUGAAAUGACUAAACAGAGUAUAGAAAACCAUAUCAACUUGUUUCCACGAGUUGAGUCACAUUAUUGUUGAAGCAUUUCCUGCAAACAAUACUUUGAUGGGUCAUUAAAUUUGAAGAAACUUUA